rnacentral:snoRNA from 1 species
GUCCUCGCUUAUAAGCCGGGGGACUAGCCGUAUGCUAUGUUCACUAGUAAAACGUGAGGAAAAUUAUAGAGACAACCAGACACCGUGCAAAUUUUGAUAUGUUCGGUCACUAUGUGUGUCCCACAAUA